GACGUACGCUGGCGGCGUGCUUAACACAUGCAAGUCGAACGGAAAGGCUCCAGCUUGCUGGAGUACUCGAGUGGCGAACGGGUGAGUAACACGUGGGUAAUCUGCCCUGCACUCUGGGAUAAGCCUGGGAAACUGGGUCUAAUACUGGAUAUGACCUUUCUCCUUAUGGGGUUUGGUGGAAAGUUUUUCGGUGUAGGAUGAGCCCGCGGCCUAUCAGCUUGUUGGUGGGGUGAUGGCCUACCAAGGCGACGACGGGUAGCCGGCCUGAGAGGGUGAUCGGCCACAUUGGGACUGAGAUACGGCCCAGACUCCUACGGGAGGCAGCAGUGGGGAAUAUUGCACAAUGGGCGGAAGCCUGAUGCAGCGACGCCGCGUGAGGGAUGACGGCCUUCGGGUUGUAAACCUCUUUCAGCAGGGACGAAGCGUAAGUGACGGUACCUGCAGAAGAAGCACCGGCUAACUAUGUG
rnacentral:rRNA from 1 species